rnacentral:lncRNA from 1 species
UGAAUAAGUGAAUUUAAGGGUUCAAAAUGGAGGUAUAAAUCAAAGAUUUAUGGUUGUUUCAGAUGACAUUAAUAUGUUGUUGGAUGAAGUACAUAAAAAGGGUAUUAAAAGUAGAUUUCGCAUUCUUUCACAGACAACUUUUAUAUGUUGUCCGAUGUAUUACUAUAAAGUUGCUAAAUGUUGUUUUUUUACACUGCAUAUAUAUGCCGUCUGAAAUUUUGCAUAUCACAGAUAAAUUUAGCAACAUCCAGAAGUAUGAAGGGAGCAUGGCACUUAUACGACUUAUACUUCGCAAAUGUCGUCUGAAGGGUCGAAAAAUUAAUCAAACGACAUAAACUCAAAAUCGUCCAAAAUAUGUCGUCUGAAAAGUGUCGUCUGAUGAUAUAUAUGACUAGUGGAGAGUCAUUUGAUUCAUCACUCAUUCAUGUCUUAGAAAACCGAAAUUUUGAGCUUUGCAAUAUGUUUUGGGGUCUAGCGACGGUGAAAGAUUAAUGAAUGAAUAUACAUUUCCGGAUUCGGGUAUUAGCAUGGCCCAAAUUUGUUAGAAUGUGGGCUUGGCCUGACCCGGGUGGUUGCUCAUCAUUUCAUUUCAGACCACGUGAGUGACGAGUGAUGACAGCGGCAAAUUUCCCGCCAAUGAUACGCGCCCCAGUGGCGGGAUUUUUCUUGACGGUGAGAGGAGCGAGGCUAGUCCCGCCAUUUCACAAGCACAUCGAAUUUCUACCUCCGCAUUACUUUUUCGGUGUUUCUAUUUCAUGGUAUAUUACAAAAUAAGAAAAAAAAAAAAACCAUGAUAAAAGUUCAUUAUGAAAGACAAAUUAACCGGUUAAAGGGAGCUUGACAAAUUGUCAUUUAAAUAACUAGUGUUAUUAAAUCGAAACUCAUCAAAUCAAAAUUUUCGUAGAACUACUAUCUUUCGAAAUGAUAACCAUCACAUGUGGUUAAGUUGGUAAGAGUUUAAGCAUGAAACCUCUAUAUCCAUGUUUGAUUCUUGAUGAUUGUAGUUAAAUCUCAAUAUAUUCUUAGUGACCAUGAGGAAGAAAGCGUUUUGACAUAAUCUCCUGACACAAUUUAGCUUCUCAGUCUAAAAAGUCUUUUUAGGGAACCGUGUGAUUCUGAUACGCUCUCAAAAUGAUUUUCAACUUCUUGAUAAUAUUUGGUAUUUUGGUUUAUUUUCGAUGAGUAUGUUGCAAUAUGGAGCA